rnacentral:lncRNA from 1 species
AUGGCUCAGUGUUCACCGCCCACCUGGGGGCUGCCUGGCAGCGGUUCUCCACCUGCGUCCGUCUGCCUGGGCCCAUGUGUCCAGCGAGAGGCGAGGUACCUGUGUCGGCCGCCUUCUGCCCGAGAAGGACCAGAAGGCUGUCACCUUCGAGCCAGCACCACCCGCUCUGUGUGCAGGGCUCCCCAUGCGGGCAGCAGAGGGCAUGGGCACCCGUCCUCCUGGCCCGCUCCCCAGAGCCUCAGAGUCCUCUUGAGGGCUCAGCUAACUGACCAGCCAGGUGCUGCAAUCCCGAGCCAACCGGGAGCCGACUUCCUGCUCCACUGCUCCCUCCUCCCUCCCACCUCCUCCCUCCUUCCUUCCUCCCCUCCUCCCUCCUUCCUUCUUUCCUCCUCCUUCCUUCCUUCCUCCUCCCUGCUUCCUCCUCUCUUCCUUUUUUCUCUUUCCUCCUCUCUCCUUCCUUCCUUUUUCCUCCUCCCUCCCUUCCUCCUUCCUUCCCAUCUUGUUCCAGAAAGGAUGUGGUUCAGCCUACAGUGUGGGAUAAAGAGAAGCAGGCAGGCCCCCGUGGGCACCUGUGACCUUCAGUCAGAAAAAUGGAGCCCAGACUCGUGCCCGACGAGCCCACUCAGAGGAGUCUGUGGAGCAGGAGCCCCUAAAAGGCCUCAGGAUGGCCCCAGGACAGCGCUGCCCUCCCGGCCCUGGGACACGCGAGACUCAACUGGGAUGUUUACAGCGAAGGUACUGGUGAAGCACACUGCACGGAUAAAAGAGGAAGCCCUGGGGCCGGCUCCGUGGCCGAGUGGUUAAGUUCGCGCGCUCUGCUGCGGCGGCCCAGGGUUCGGAUCCUGGGCACGGACAUGGCACCGCUCGUCAGGCCACGUUGAGGCGGCGUCCCACAUCCCACAACUAGAAGGACCUGCAACUAAGAUAUACAACUGUGUGGGGGGGAGGGUUGGGGAGAUAAAGCAGAAAAAAAAAAAAAGAUUGGCAACAGUUGUUAGCCCAGGUGCCAAUCCUUGAAAAAAAAAAAAGAGGAAGCCCUUUCGUUUUUGGUAGUUUCUAGUAAUUCCUGGCCUGUCUUCUCCAGUAUAUAGUUUUGCAUCUCAGAAUAUCCCACCUGGACCCAGCUGGACCAGGCUGGAAUUUUUUGUUGAAUACAUCUUAUGCGGAACUUGUAACAUCCUGAAAUAAAUGUCUGUUCGUGCAGAUGUGGGGUUACUUC